GUCCCCGUAGCUCAAUUGGAUAGAGCGCAGCCCUCCGAAGGCUGAGGUUACAGGUUCAACUCCUGUCGGGGAUG
rnacentral:tRNA from 1 species